rnacentral:misc_RNA from 1 species
GAUGAAGAACGCAGCGAAAUGCGAUAAGUAAUGUGAAUUGCAGAAUUCAGUGAAUCAUCGAAUCUUUGAACGCACAUUGCGCCUGCCAGUAAUCUGGCGGGCAUGCCUGUUCGAGCGUCAUUACAACCCUCAGGCCCCCGGGCCUGGCGUUGGGGAUCGGCGGAGCCCCCCGUGGGCACACGCCGUCCCCCAAAUACAGUGGCGGUCCCGCCGCAGCUUCCAUCGCGUAGUAGCUAACACCUCGCGACUGGAGAGCGGCGCGGCCACGCCGUAAAACACCCAACUCUUCUGAAGUUGACCUCGAAUCAGGUAGGAAUACCCGCUGAACUUAAGCAUAUCAAUAAGCGGAGGA